rnacentral:lncRNA from 11 species
GUACUAAAUACUUUUUCCUCUGCUGGUGUUCUUCCACAGAGUUCCACAUAGUCAAAUAUAUAAGGAACACUGGUAGAAAUUGUGUUCAUCUCAAUAAGACAGAGAGAAGCCCUACCUGUCUGAACCUGCCUUCCUUUGUGAAAUGGAGAAUUGUAUCUACCUGCUACUGCUGCUGUAUGAUUUG